rnacentral:rRNA from 1 species
GAUGAACGCUGGCGGCGUGCCUAAUACAUGCAAGUCGAGCGAACGGACGAGAAGCUUGCUUCUCUGAUGUUAGCGGCGGACGGGUGAGUAACACGUGGAUAACCUACCUAUAAGACUGGGAUAACUUCGGGAAACCGGAGCUAAUACCGGAUAAUAUUUUGAACCGCAUGGUUCAAAAGUGAAAGACGGUCUUGCUGUCACUUAUAGAUGAAUCCGCGCUGCAUUAGCUAGUUGGUAAGGUAACGGCUUACCAAGGCAACGAUGCAUAGCCGACCUGAGAGGGUGAUCGGCCACACUGGAACUGAGACACGGUCCAGACUCCUACGGGAGGCAGCAGUAGGGAAUCUUCCGCAAUGGGCGAAAGCCUGACGGAGCAACGCCGCGUGAGUGAUGAAGGUCUUCGGAUCGUAAAACUCUGUUAUUAGGGAAGAACAUAUGUGUAAGUAACUGUGCACAUCUUGACGGUACCUAAUCAGAAAGCCACGGCUAACUACGUG